rnacentral:rRNA from 1 species
GAUGAACGCUGGCGGCGUGCUUAACACAUGCAAGUCGAACGGAAAGGCCCAAGCUUGCUUGGGUACUCGAGUGGCGAACGGGUGAGUAACACGUGGGUGAUCUGCCCUGCACUUCGGGAUAAGCCUGGGAAACUGGGUCUAAUACCGGAUAGGACCACUUCUUGGAUGUUGUGGUGGAAAGUUUUUUCGGUGUGGGAUGAGCUCGCGGCCUAUCAGCUUGUUGGUGGGGUAAUGGCCUACCAAGGCGUCGACGGGUAGCCGGCCUGAGAGGGUGUACGGCCACAUUGGGACUGAGAUACGGCCCAGACUCCUACGGGAGGCAGCAGUGGGGAAUAUUGCACAAUGGGCGCAAGCCUGAUGCAGCGACGCCGCGUGGGGGAUGACGGCCUUCGGGUUGUAAACUCCUUUCGCUAGGGACGAAGCGUUUUGUGACGGUAUCUGGAGAAGAAGCACCGGCUAACUACGUG